UGAGUGUAGUUUAAUAAAAUUCUA
rnacentral:tRNA from 1 species